rnacentral:lncRNA from 1 species
GAUGCUGCAGUGGGAGUGUGGAGAGAUGUGAAGGCAACAGCAGGAAUAAUGAUAAGAUUGGUUGUGAGGUACUGUAUAGAUGAGAUGGAUAGGACCAGAGAUGCACCUGAGAGCAGGAGGAAAAGGAGAGGAAAAUGGUCAUGUGGGUGCCAGAUAGUACUGCAUAACCUCUCCUUUUGAAUUUGAGGUACCUGCGUCUGCCAAGAGUAGCUUUUCCAUUUCACAACCAUCACACUUUCCUGUGAGUUCAGAGUUAAUGAAGACAUGUGGAUGCAAAAGGAAAACUUGCAGAGCAAAGUCAUUGCCAAACAGGUUGUGUAGCCUGACCUGUGAAACAUUGUGAAGAAGGAAGAUCGCAGUUUCAGGGAAGAUGACUCGAUAACACCACAGAACAGACAGAUUGCCCAUCAUGAUUACAUCCAAUGGUGUCUUGGCCAAAUAAAAGAUGGUGGUAAAUGGAUAAGAGUCAAGGUGAUUUCAAGCAGAAAGGGCCCUUUGAAAUCACCUCCCAGAAACACUGAGGUGGAGAGAUAGGGAGUGACUCGUCCAAGGUCAUGCAGCUUGCAGGUCAGAAGCUGGAGAUGGUUGGGAAUCUGCUGGAUGUGUGUGCUGGUGAAGGGCAAGGCUUGAGAGGAAGACUUUGCCUUCCUCUGGAUUCAGCACUUGCAAAUCUGGAAGACAAAUGUGACAUCAAUGUCAUCACCAUUCAUGCACUCUCAGCUUUCUUCCCCUGAGACUUUUCUGAAGAACAUUCUUUCCUUCCAAGAAUGACUUUCCAUUGCUGAUUUCAAAAAACCAUAGAUUUUGUUUCCACCUCUGUUGUUUUGUUGUUCUUGUUUGCUCUCUGAUUUGUGUUGUGAUUAUCUUGUGUUUGCUUCUCUAUUUAAUAUCAAUAGUUUCUAUGAAAAAGGAGGACUGUUAUUAAAUAAUUGGAACUCUGAACCCAGAAAUAAAAUUAAGUAAAAGUUUUCCAAACUUUUCACCCUCCAUUUCUACAGAGGCUAUAUGGCUUGACCUAAGAAAUAUUGCAGAAAGAAUAUCCAAGUUUAAGGGCCAAUGACUGUAACUACUGCAAAACAGGCCUCUAAGUUUCACAACAUCCUGUGAAAAGGCCAGAGGAUAGCCGAUGAAUUUUGGUCAAAUUUGCAAAAAUAAAGAAAAAUAAUACUGUAUUCCUGCCUGCAUUUUCUUCUUGACUGGCACCAAUGCUCUUAGAGGCAGGUCAGUAAGUCAAGAUGCCCAAUCUAUUUACCAAACCAGGGUAGCUUGCCAGACCACACAUGGCUCUCCAGCCCAAGUUUUCAAGGUAAACAUAUCUUUUAUAUAAAGGCCUCUGCUUCUCAGAGGGGAGAUGUGGAGAAAG